rnacentral:rRNA from 1 species
AGAGUUUGAUCCUGGCUCAGGACGAACGCUGGCGGCGUGCUUAACACAUGCAAGUCGAACGAGGUCCACCCAGUGGCAACACUGGUGAAGACCUAGUGGCGAACGGGUGAGUAACACGUGAGGAACCUGCCCCGAAGACUGGGAUAAGCCCCCGAAAGGGGGUCUAAUACCGGAUGCCCUCUACUGAUCGCAUGGUCGGUUGAGGAAAGGAUUCUGCUUCGGGAGGGCCUCGCGGCCUAUCAGCUUGUUGGUGAGGUAACGGCUCACCAAGGCGACGACGGGUAGCUGGUCUGAGAGGACGAUCAGCCACACUGGGACUGAGACACGGCCCAGACUCCUACGGGAGGCAGCAGUGGGGAAUCUUGCGCAAUGGGCGAAAGCCUGACGCAGCAACGCCGCGUGCGGGAUGAAGGCCUUCGGGUUGUAAACCGCUUUCAGUGGGGACGAAAACAGACGGUACCCACAGAAGAAGCCCCGGCCAACUACGUGCCAGCAGCCGCGGUAGCACGUAGGGGGCGAGCGUUGUCCGGAAUCAUUGGGCGUAAAGAGCUCGUAGGCGGCUCAGUAAGUCGGGUGUGAAACCCCCAGGCUCAACCUGGGGACGCCACCCGAUACUGCUGUGGCUAGAGUCCAGUAGGGGAGUGUGGAAUUCCCGGUGUAGCGGUGAAAUGCGCAGAUAUCGGGAGGAACACCAGCGGCGAAGGCGGCACUCUGGGCUGGAACUGACGCUGAGGAGCGAAAGCGUGGGUAGCAAACAGGAUUAGAUACCCUGGUAGUCCACGCCGUAAACGUUGGGCACUAGGUGUGGGGACCCUCCAACGGUCUCCGUGCCGUAGCUAACGCAUUAAGUGCCCCGCCUGGGGAGUACGGCCGCAAGGCUAAAACUCAAAGGAAUUGACGG